GAGGGUGUAGCUCAGUGGUAGAGCUCGCUUAGCAAUCAUGAGAUCCUGGGUUCAAUCCCCAGUACCCCCA
rnacentral:tRNA from 1 species